AUUGAACGCUGGCGGCAGGCCUAACACAUGCAAGUCGAGCGAGCGGCGGACGGGUGAGUAAUGUAUGGGAAACUGCCUGAUGGAGGGGGAUAACUACUGGAAACGGUAGCUAAUACCGCAUACUAUCAGAUGUGCCCAGAUGGGAUUAGCUAGUAGGUGGGGUAACGGCUCACCUAGGCGACGAUCCCUAGCUGGUCUGAGAGGAUGAUCAGCCACACUGGGACUGAUACACGGUCCAGAAUCCUACGGGAGGCAGCAGUGGGGAAUAUUGCACAAUGGGCGCAAGCCUGAUGCAGCCAUGCCGCGUGUAUGAAGAAGGCCCUCGGGUUGUAAAGCACUUUCAGCGGUGAGGCGUUACCCACAGAAGAAGCACCGGCUAACUCCGUGCCAGCAGCCGCGGUAAUUC
rnacentral:rRNA from 1 species